GUUCAGAACAACAGUGUUCGACGAACUGUUUAGCUAGACUGACACUCUCUUUGAGAAGAGAAGCGUCGACUGAGACGAAAACGAAAUAGCCUCAAGCCAUACCGAGGUAAUGGGAGAACGGGAAAAGCGGGAUUCUAUAUCAGACAAGAGGAAAGAUCCCGCAAUCACUUUAAAACACAGAAGAAGUAAAUUCCCGAAGAGGGCGGAUGACAUUUUUUAAAUUCUGAUAAAUACGUACUACUUCAACGCCACCUAACAAUUGUCACGUUGACUAGAAAACAAGAAUAAAAUAACGGGAAGUUUUCUUUA